rnacentral:rRNA from 1 species
UACGAAGGGGGGCUAGCGUUGCUCGGAAUGACUGGGCGUAAAGGGCGCGUAGGCGGAUGGCACAGUCAGAUGUGAAAAUUCCCCGGGCUUAACCUGGGGGGCUGCAUUUGAUACGUGUUGUCUUGAGUUCGGAAGAGGGUCGUGGAAUUCCCCAGUGUAGAGGUGAAAAUUCGUAGAUAUUGGGAAGAACACCGGUGGCGAAGGCGGCGACCUGGUCCGACACUGACGCUGAGGCGCGAAAAGCGUGGGGGAGCAAACAGG